GCAAAAUUUGAAUACUAUCAUUCAGCAUCUUUUAUUAACACACAUAAUAAUCUUGUUAAUAUAAACAUCUUUCUUUCUGCUCCACCUCUAACUCUCUUUAAGGAGGCUGCUUAGGUGAUCUCAGUUGCUCUCAUGCCUUCAACUACUGUCUUUAUGCUGAUGACACACAAAUCUACCUCCCUUUCUUGACCUAUUUCUCUUCAUCCCAUCUUCCAUCUUGACCCGUUUCUCUGACAUCCCCACUUGGAUGUCUCACCAUCUUAAAAUUAAUUGGGUCAAAACUGAAUUCCUAAGUAGUAUUCCUGAAUACUAAGUAGAUUUACUUUUGUUUCAUCUGAGGAUAGGCUGUAGAAAAUCCUUUAAUUUGUAUAUAAGUUCUAAGGCAACAAAACCUAUCUACUGGAUGCAUGCUGCACACAUAUACACUCAUUGCUUAGGAUGUGGAUUUCUGUGUACAAUUAAGUGACUGUAUCUGCAUGGAAAAGCAGCUUUUUACUUCACUAAAUUUCUGUCAUGCUUGCUUUUAUGCCUUCAAUACAUCCUUUUGUUCAGCUUUCUAGAUUUUUCAAUUUAUUUGUUUUAAAUCUUUUUUUCACAUGGAUAUGAAUUUUACCCUCUGUACCAGGCUCAAGUGUUCUACUCUUCUAACCUUUUCACAUUUUAUCCGAAUUCCUGAGGGGAUGGAACUAUUCACUGACCUGAAGAAGAGCUCUGUGUAGCUCGAAAGCUUGUCUCUUUCUCUUCCACCAAGAGAAGUUGGUCCAAUAAAUGAUAUCUCACCUUCCUUGUCUGUCUCAUAUCCUGGGCCCAACAUGGCUGCAACAACACUGCAAACAGCAAAAGCUCUCGUAAGUUCACAGUUUUGUUUGAAACAGAAUCCAAGGCCCUGUCUACACUGGCAAGUUUCUGCACAGUAAAGCAGCUUUCUGCACUUUAGCUCCCGAGGUGGACACACUGCCAAGCCACUUAGUGCGCAGAAACUGCACAGUUGCAGCAUUGUGAAAAAAAACCACCACGACGAGAGGCGUACAGCUUUCUGCACCGGGGGUACGGUGCUGCGGUGCCAGUGUAGACACCCUGGUCAAUUACAGCAACGACCUUGGGAGCACAGCCUCCCUCUUUGUCAUUGCUGGAUGAACGGCUGUGCAGAAUUAGAGAGCCGCCACAAAGAACUAAGGAGGAUUUUCUGCCUGAUGUUAUGAUGCACUCCGGGGCUGAAAAACAGGAAUUGAAGGAGUGGCGGGACAGCGAGAAGAGAAUGCAGGAAUGAAAGGAAAAUGCAGCAUGCCAGAAUGAAGCCAUGGAAUGGCUCUUAAACAUUAUAGAUUCAUAGAUUCCCAAUGGCCUGUGAUGGGAUGUCAGAUGGGGUGGGAUCUGAGGUACUACAGAGAAUUCUUUCCUGGGUAUCUGGCUGGUGAAUCUUGCCCAUAUGCUCAGGGUUCAGCUGAUUGCCAUAUUUGGGGUUGGGAAGGAAUUUUCCUCCAGGGCACAUUGGAAGAGGCCCUGAGGUUUUUCGCCUUCCUCUGUAGCAUGGGGCACGGGUCACUUGCUGGAGGAUUCUCUGCACCUUGAAGUCUUUAAACCAUGAUUUGAGGACUUCAGUAGCUCAGACAUAGGUGAGAGGUUUAUCGCAGGAGUGGGUGGGUGAGAUUCUCUGGCCUGCAUUGUGCAGGAGGUCAGACUAGACGAUCAUAAUGGUCCCUUCUGACCCUAAUACUAUGAAUCUAUGAGAAUGCAGCAUGCCAGAAUGAAGCCAUGGAGUGGCUCUUAAACAUUAUGGAGCACCAGGCGGACAUGCACCAGGUGAUACUAGCACUGCAAACCAAGGAUCUCCAUGCCUGCCCUCCCCUGCAGCCACUGUCACAAAACUCUUUCCCAUGCACCCCCACAGACACCGCCAACACACUCUUAUUGACCUCCUGGCUCCUGUCUGUACCCACGGCAUUCCACUCCUCCCCCAUCACAGUCCAGCACUACAGACUUCCAGUACCCACUGCACUUAACACCCAUCCCUCUGCAGUUUAGCCUGCUACACUGUACUCUAAAGAAGAGGGU